rnacentral:lncRNA from 1 species
UUUCCCCGUCACCCGCAAGGCCAACAACGACAUUACUUCUAUCUCAAGCAACGGCGGAAGAGUUAGCUGCAUGAAGGUAAUGUCCUAUAAAAACUGUAUUUUGUCAUGUGUAAUUAGUGAAAUUGAACAAAACUUAGAAUAAUUGGAAUUGGGAGUUAUAGGUGUGGCCACCAAUUGGAAAGAAGAAGUUUGAGACUCUAUCUUACCUCCCUGACCUUACUGACGUCGAAUUGGCUAAGGAAGUUGACUACCUUCUCCGCAACAAGUGGAUUCCUUGUGUUGAAUUCGAGUUAGAGGUAAUAAACACUGGACCUUUCGUUUGUCUCUAAUCAUUAUAUAUUAUUUUCUUACAUAGCUAAAAACCAAAGUCAAUAAGCUUAUUUUCGUUUGUCUCUAAUCAUUGUUCAUUGAAUGGAUUUCGUAUUCAUUUAUAGCAUGGAUUUGUGUACCGUGAGCAUGGAAACACACCUGGAUACUACGAUGGACGGUACUGGACAAUGUGGAAGCUUCCAUUGUUCGGAUGCACCGACUCCGCUCAAGUGUUGAAGGAAGUGCAAGAGUGCAAGAAGGAGUACCCUAACGCCUUCAUUAGGAUCAUCGGAUUUGACAACAACCGUCAAGUCCAGUGCAUCAGUUUCAUUGCCUACAAGCCCCCAAGCUUCACUGAUUCUUAAUUAAAUCCUUUCUGGAAUAUUCAAUGUUGACUAUCCGGAACAAUUUUGUAUGGUCAAUGUAAAUUUAAGUAACUAUUAUCUAGCCAACUUAAACGUUGAGCAAUUGUUUUGCGAAAAGUGAAAAAGUUGAAGGUUUAUUUUCUAUCAUUUCCUCUAUAAUUAUAUCUAUUCAUAUCAUUUCAUUUUUGAUCUUAUCACUUUGAACUCUUUCAUCUUCGAUUUAGCUCUUUUAAGCAACAUUUUAUUUCCUUUACAUUUCCCUCCUAAUUUUUGCUUUUGAUUCUCUAGACUAACCUAUAAUAGAAGAGAGACCUUUUUAGAUACCUUUUUGGAAAAACUUUGCACAUGAAAUCAUAACAAAGAUGCCUCAAUAAAUCAAAUCUCGAAAGGGCCAGUACCUUGUGACUUAGAUGGAUGGGCUAGGACGAUCUCGCUUUCGAAAAAAAGAUUUAUUUGAUUUUGCUGUGGGUGGAGCAAUGUUGACUACCUCCGCACUAUUUUCUUGAACGGUUUUGGCUAUUUUGUACCUUGUACGCGCUUCUGCUCACGGGAAAUUUGUGAGCUUUAAGUUGGUAUUGUGGAUCCAUGACCAUAGCUUCUUCCUGUGGCCUUAGGGAGAGUUCUUGCCUCGGUUCCACACCGUCCAUUGAAGUGUGCUAUGAAAAUUCCCCACAAUCUGUCAUGUCUUCCAUGCUUAAGUUGACAUGGUGGAAAUCAUCUUGAGGUGCCACAUUUUAAGUGGGCCGUACGUGCAAUGGUGUGGUGCUCCGAAAGGAACGGUAGCAUGGGUUCCUAUAGCAUUGGAUCGUUUUCUAAACAAUAUGCAUUAUGUGUUUAUAAAUUUUAGUAAUUGUACAUACAUGUCCCAGUUUAAAAACAGAUUAACAUACAUUAUAAUUUUAAGGGCUGCCUAUAGCGUUACACCUAUACUAUAGCGUUUCAACUCCUAUCCACCUGUACUUUCGACCUCUGCCCAAUUCACCUUAUACUUGUUUUAAACUUCCUAAUUCCACCUAAACUAUUAAAUUCUCCAUAAUUAACCAAAAUCAAGAACUCUCUAUAAUUGCGAUUAAAAAUCGUUCAAAUCGCGUUUACUGUAGGCCAACCCGAGUCAGAUCCGACCAGCUUCGAAGACUUCUUUCACCAUAAGGGUUUGACUCGUGUUCAUUUGUUUUGUCGGGUCAACCUCGGAUUAAUAUAAACACAUAUUUUUUUACUGCAAUUUGAACUAUUUUUAAUCGUAAUUAUAGAGAGUUGGGCAGAUGUCGAAAGUACAUGUGGAUAGGAGUUGAAACGAUAUAUAUAGUAUAGUUGUAACGCUAUAGGCAGCCCUAAUUUUAAUAAGAAUGAUAUAAACUCAACUAAACUUCCUCUUCUUAGUUUGAAACUUUGCAUGACCAUUAACUCUCUUAUACUGCAUAAGACAUAAUUAGUGACAUAUUUUUUUCUUUCUAUUAUCAAUAUUUUCGUUAGCAUGUACUCGUUGUAAGAUGAAUAGAGAAAUAAUUGAAUUAUGAAAUAACGAAAUCAAUGUAUAUAUAUAUAAAACAAAAACAAUUUUACGCUGAACAAUUUUUUUUUAAAAAAAGGCAAAAAAAUUGCUUGUUUCAUAUUAUAGGAUGUUUUGGACCUUUUUUUUUGUUUCACAAUAUAUAAUGCUUUGAAGAAAAAAUACAAGUUUCUAUGUAAAACAUUAAAUUUAAUAGAUUAUUGACUAUUUACAUUAUGCAGUAAAUUAUAUCACUGAUUAAAUUAUUUUUAAUAGAUAUUAAUUUUUGUUUUAAUGUUAAAAACUCAAGAUUAGUUAAUUUCUUAAACUUUGUGCUUUCAUCUUUUUUUUUAUCUUUUUUUUUUGUCAUCCGAAAUUAAUUAUACCUCAAAAGAGAGAGUAUUAUUUGAAACAAAGAGAGUAUUAUUUAGCAGAUAAAUGACUUUUAUCUGAUUUAAUUAUAAUUUUAAAAUGUGCGGGAUGAAUUAAAAGAUCAUUUAUCAUUUUUCACGUUUUGUUUUUUUCCAGUUAGGUUUUUGUGAAUGGUUUUUACUCAGCGUAAUCAUGUUUUAAGAACAAGAACGUGAGAAAGUUAACAAAAUACCGUUGCAAGACUUUAUUUUUGUUUUACACAAAAUGUAGUUUUAUAUUUUCAAAGUAGUUUUUUUUAAUAGAAUUUACUUAUAUUCUUUUUAGUUAAGAUAAUCAAAUGGGAAAAUAAAAAUAUUAAUGUGUUAAUACAAGAUAAUAGAAAUUUAAUCAUUUUAAUAUAUAUGUAAAAAGUAUUCAACCGAUAUUUACAAUUAGACAGAACUAAGAAGUAUUAAAUUUCUCACCUCACCUCCCAAAAGAAAGGAGCCAAAAGCAACCGAUCAAGUGGAGACCAGUACUAGCCAUACACAUUCACUCGUUCCCUUACAAGAGAAAGAUAAGAUUAUGGAGUUUUCUGCCACUUGGUCUUAUCCUAGUGGUCCGAAUUGAUAAGGGUUUCAACACCUUUCCUUAAUCCUGUGGCAAUUAACGACGUUAUCAUGAAUUAUGGCCACUUUGAUCAUUAGGGCUUUUUGCCUUGCAGUUCUCACUAUAUAAAGAUGACCAAAUCAAUCGACAAACAAGUAAAAGAAACAACAAGAAGUAGUGAUGGCUUCAUCUAUGCUCUCCUCUGCCGCUAUGGUUACCUCCCCAGCUCAAGCCACCAUGGUCGCUCCAUUCACCGGCUUGAAGUCAUCCGCUGCUUUCCCGGUCACCCGCAAGGCCAACAACGACAUUACUUCUAUCUCAAGCAACGGCGGAAGAGUUAGCUGCAUGAAGGUAAUGUCCUAUAAAAACUGUAUUUUGUCAUGUGUAAUUAGUGAAAUUGAACAAAACUUAGAAUAAUUGGAAUUGGGAGUUAUAGGUGUGGCCACCAAUUGGAAAGAAGAAGUUUGAGACUCUAUCUUACCUCCCUGACCUUACUGACGUCGAAUUGGCUAAGGAAGUUGACUACCUUCUCCGCAACAAGUGGAUUCCUUGUGUUGAAUUCGAGUUAGAGGUACUAAACACCGAACUUUUCCUUUGUCUCUAAUCAUCCUUUAUUAUUUCUGUUCAUUGGUAGAAACAUAAGUCAAUAACCGGAUUUUAAAACCCGAAAUAGACUAUAACCGUGUGACUCCUCGACUAUCAAUGGUAUUGAAUGGUUUUGUCAUCUGUUUAUAGCACGGAUUUGUGUACCGUGAGCACGGAAACACUCCCGGAUACUACGAUGGACGGUACUGGACAAUGUGGAAGCUUCCAUUGUUCGGAUGCACCGAUUCUGCUCAAGUGUUGAAGGAAGUGCAAGAAUGCAAGAAGGAGUACCCUAAUGCCUUCAUUAGGAUCAUCGGAUUCGACAACAACCGUCAAGUCCAAUGCAUCAGUUUCAUUGCCUACAAGCCCCCAAGCUUCACCGAUGCUUAAUUCCCUUUCUGGAAUGUUCAACGUUGACUAGUAUUUCGGAAUCCAAUUCUAUGUGGUCAAUGCAAAUUUAAGAAAUUAAUUAGCCGACUUAAAAGUUGAGGAAUUAUUGUGUGAAAGUGAAAAAUUUGAAGGUUUUUUCUAUCAAUUUCCUUAUAAUUAUAUUUACUCAUUUGAUUUCAUUUUUUUUCUUCUAGCUCUUUGAGCUCUAUUUUUCGUUUAGCUCCUUUUGACAACAUUCCGGUUCAUUUAAAUUCUCCUCAUUAUUCUUGCUUUUGAGAAAUUGGCUACAUUGUUUCGAGAAAUUUUGCACAUGAAAGCAUAACAAAGAUGCCUCAAUUUAUCAAACCUCGAUGAUUUAGAACAAAAGAUUAUUUAAGGGGGUGUAACCUUUUAAGAUGAAAUAGCCAUUGGAGAUAGCAAAAGGUAGUAAAAGACGUAUACACUAUAAACAAAAUCCAAAUGUAUGCUUUUAAAAUUAUAAACAUGUAUUCCAAACGCCUAAGUGGAAUAUUCAGUUUAAUUCAAGUCCAAGAAAUGGCAUUAUAUAAAGCAAGGAUCGACAAAGACUGAAAUUUGUCUAGCAUGAAGUUACUAAAUUUUGGAAAUUGUGUUCACGUUAAAAGCUGAAACUUAACAGUUAUUUAUAAGGAAAAGCAGUUAAUGUUCCCAAAAAGUUCUAAAUGAAACUAGAAACCAAAUGAUAAAGAAAACGUAGCAUCUACAUGUUUGGUUUUAGUUUUUUUUUUUUUGACAAAAAUAUUCAAAUGUUUUUAGAUUCUUCUAUGCAAACGAUAUAUAGAAAAUAUAUACAUGAUUCAAAUAUAAUACAAAUAAAAAUAAUUAUUGAAAUUACCGAACAUUUUUUUGCAUCUCCCUGAUUUACUUCCCACAUUUUCGUUUCAAAUAAAAUUCAAGAAAAAGAAAGACGACGAAAAAAAAUGACUUAAAAAGACAAGGGACAGAAGCUGGUAACUUAGAUGGAUGGGUUAGGACUAUCUCACUUUCGAAAAAUGUUUAUUUGGUUGAGGUGCGGAGUGGAGUGGAGCUUGUGAUUCUUUGCCCUAUAUGAGAGUUUUUUCGUGACCAAUUAUGGUGAUUGUGUACUUUGUAUACAUGUUUCUUCUCAUAUGGUUGAAAUGGGGGCAUUUGUGAGCUUUAAGGUGGCAGUCUUGAUCCACGACCAUAGCUUUACAUGACUUUAAGGUGAGUUCUUGCCUUGGUUCUACACCGUUGAUUGAAAUGAAUUAUGAAAAUUCCUCAUGAUCCGCCAUUUUUACAUGCUAAGUUUUUUUUUUUUGAAAAAUGCAUGCUUAAGUUGAAACGGUGGUUAUCAACUUGAGGUGCCAUAUUUGUGAUUAAGUGGGCCGUAAGUGCAACGGCGUGGUACUCAAAGAGGAACGGUGGGGUGGGUUUCACAUCGUGAUUGUGAUGUGAGUAUGUAUGUGACCAGAGUCCAGGGCCGGCUCAAAAUUAUUCGAGACCUUGUGCUGAUGUAUAAAAAUUGGUUUUUAAAUAAUAUAGUGAAAAUUUUGGACCCUCAAUCUUAGAGGAAAUUGAAAUUUUUUUUUGAGGACCCUGUGCUUUUGCUCCUCUAGCACACCCUUAGAGCUGGCACUGCCAGAGUCACAAGAUAAUCGUGAGCUGGUCUUACUUGUUGAUCGAGAGGCAGCAUUAACUCAUAUAGAAGAAACCAUGGACCUCCGACCUUGGGAGGUUUUCUUGGAAAUUCUUCCAUGAUGGAAGCUUACCGCAUGAGCAUGAUACAGGUAGAUGCAUGAUGGUUUCGGUUGUUUGCUCGAUCGCUUUCUACCACAAACAUAUCUUGCAUCUAAUUGUUGUUGCCUUGUUGGUUCUCAAAUAUUUACUCUCGAAACAGUAAGAUGUUGUUAGCCAUACGUAAAUCAGAAAUAAAAGUAUAGUUGGCUAAAACUGCAGUGAGUAUAGAAUUAACCGAUAUCAAUUUAUUCAAAUUUCCGUCUCUCUUUUCUUUUGUUGGCUAAUAUAUUAUCAUUUGAAGAUAAUAUAUAGUUUUUCCAAGAAAAGAAUAUUGACAAUUUUUUUGUGGUAAGUGAUUUUAAGAAUGACUCCAGAAUCGACAGGUUACCCAGACAAUAUUUAUCAUGGAUAAACCUAUCGAAAAAUCUUAAAAAUCAGUAUUAAUAAAACGGAAGUAGUAAUGAACUUCUAAGCUAUGCAUUACAAUACAUUUAUCUCAAUGUCGAAUUUAAAUAAUUUUCUUAGAACUCCUUUUUUAAUGCGACCUUAUUCACCAAAUCAAGUGAAGCCAAAUUAAAUCAUGCAUGGUAAAUAAAAUAUCCAAAAGCAUUAAAUUUAAGGUAAUGCGUCUGAUUUCUUUCCUCCCAAACGAAAGGAGCCAAAAGCAACCGAUCAAGUGGAAACCAAUAACCACACAUUCACUUCGUUUCCCCCACAAGAGAAGAUAAGAUAAUGGAGUUUUCUGCCACGUGGCAUUAUCCUAGUGGUCCGUACCGAUAAGGGUGUCAACACCUUUCCUUAAUCCUGUGGCAGUAAACGACGUUAUCAUGAAUUAUGGACCCUUUGAUCAUGAGGGGCUUUUUUCCUGUUGCGGUUCUCACUAUAUAAAGAUGACAAAACCAGUAGACAAACAAGUAAGUAAGAGAAAAGAGCAAAAGAAGAAGAGAAACAACAAGAAGUAGUAAUGGCUUCCUCUAUGCUCUCCUCGGCCGCUGUGGUUACCUCCCCGGCUCAAGCCACCAUGGUCGCUCCAUUCUCCGGCUUGAAGUCAUCCGCUGCUUUCCCGGUCACCCGCAAGGCCAACAACGACAUUACUUCCAUCGCAAGCAACGGGGGAAGAGUUAGCUGCAUGAAGGUAAAGUAAAGUCAUUAAUGAAAGAUGUCUUUUGUCAUGGCAAUUAGUGUAAUUGAACAAAACAUAGAAUAAUUGGAAUUGGAUUCGGGAAUUAUAGGUAUGGCCACCAAUCGGAAAGAAGAAGUUUGAGACUUUAUCUUACCUCCCUGACCUUACUGACGUCGAAUUGGCUAAGGAAGUUGACUACCUUCUCCGCAACAAGUGGAUUCCUUGUGUUGAAUUCGAGUUAGAGGUAAUAAACACUGAACCUUUCCUUUGUCUCUAAUCAUUAUAUAUUAUUUUCUUACAUAGCUAAAAACCAAAGUCAAUAAGCUUAUUUUCUACACCAAAGUUGAGGCUAUCAUUGUCCAUCGAAUGGUUUUCUUAUGUGUUUAUAGCAC